CAGGGCCUCGCAUGUGCUAGGCAAGUGCUAUACUACUGAGCCACAACCCCAGCCCAAAAUGGUUAAUAUCUUAAUGCCUGAUGUUUUUAAGGUGAAUAAGUUGAAUAUGUGCAUUAUUCUCUUCAAAAGUUAUCAAAACAAGCUAUUGUGUUCUCUUUGUCCAGAAACGUUCCAUUCCUAAAGAAUGACAGCGUCCUCAUUCCUGGUCCAUAGAGCCACGUGGAGUGUCUUCUGGUCUCAUGAAGUUGCCAGGCUGGCCUUGAACUUGCCAUCCUCCUGCCUCAGCCUCCCAAGUAGCCAGGAUUAUAGCUACUCAGACAUGCACCACCGGACCCAGCUGAGUGUGUGGUUCUAAGCCAACAACACCUGAGAUGGGUGUGACUUGCCAAGAUGGCAACCAAUCUGCUGACCACAAGACAUCACCGAGCAAGACUCCACUUUGGAAACCUUACCACCUGCCUUAUUUGGUGAAGAACAUUCCAUCCUUUGUGUGUCCCCACUAUAAAAAUAAAGAGAUUCUG